UACGUAGGGCGCAAGCGUUGUCCGGAAUUAUUGGGCGUAAAGCGCACGUAGGCGGCUUAGCAAGUUGGAUGUGAAAUCCCUCGGCUCAACCAAGGAAGUGCAUCCAAAACUGCUGAGCUUGAGUACUUAAGAGGAUCGCGGAAUUCCCGGUGUAGAGGUGAAAUUCGUAGAUAUCGGGAGGAACACCAGUGGCGAAGGCGGCGAUCUGGGAAGAUACUGACGCUGAGGUGCGAAAGCGUGGGGAGCAAACAGG
rnacentral:rRNA from 1 species